CACCGGAUUUUAUUUAUUCCAAAGAAAGGGAAAGGUUAGGCAAGAAUUAAUGGGGAUUAAGGAGAGGUUAGGCAAGAAUGAUGGUCUCAGGGUGAAUUGACGGAGGGGAGGUGUGAAUUGGGGUCGGAAAUCCACUUAGGCAACCCAUUUCUCCAAACACCAAAUCCGGAUCCAACGUGAAUAUUGAAGGUUCAGUCCAAAACUUGUUGAAGAAAUUCGCUGAAAGCUUCAAACGAAGCCAGCACACGCUUAGAAACGUGUGACACUCAUCAUCGGCGAUGAUGAAUCUCCCUCGCUGGCAUACACCAAGAACCAUGUCAGACUUGUUCUUAAUCUAACAACAACAGCAACCUCACUUGCGCAUCGAAGCCAUGUUCAAAGCUCAAACAAAACAACGACGAGGUUCUCGAAAUCUGGUGGCGAAACUCGAAUCAACCAAAUCGGGAAAAUGCAACCUUGGAUUAAGAUUGUAAUUUAGAAACUCACCUUCGGGCGCCGGCAAAUCUCCUCCGACGGCCGCAAGAAUCGACCCGAUCCAACUCCUCCAAUCUACAUCAUCGUUAUUGCUAGGUUGGGAAGGACUCAAAGAUCCUUGUGUUGGCGAUGGAGAGAGAACGGUUGUCUGGUUCGUAUGCGUCGCGUAGAGAUGAAGAUGAAGGUCGUCCGGACGUGGACGGGGUGGUGGAUCGUUGUGUUGGAGGUCGUUGUUGGAGAUAGAAUGGAGUUAUCGUCGAUGGCGAUGGAUGACGGUGGAUGAGUCGCGGGUGAAUCUGGAGUAACCGAAGGUGAAGAAACCACGCUCAGAAAGUUUGAAGCAGUGGUUAUUGAAGAAGGUCGGAGGGUUAUGAAAAUUUCAUAUGAUGUUGUUAUAGAAAAAAACGGAUUGGUUAUAAGGAGGUGGAAGUUAGUUCGUGGAAUGAAUGCUUUGGCAACUGAUCUCGUUUAGCCUCUCAAUUCUAUUCCUGUUCUUUUUUUGCUGUUGUUUCUGUUAUGUUUUUUUAUUUAUUUCUGCAGGUUAUGAGCUCGAAAGAGUGUGUUACGGAACUCCGGAAGCUGGUUUUUAGUAGGAAUUGAAGUCACAGUUUAUUCAAGGUUUUUCAGGAUGAUGGUUGAGUGAUUUAGUUUAUGGAAUUUGGUUCGGUUGAGGAUGUGGAACUGUUUUGCUGUGAUCAAACUCAGGUCGAACGUAGGAUAAAUGAAAGCUCCGUAGGCAUGGGUUGGUGGCCAUGGUUUGAUGCAGGCUUGGCGACGACAGGAACCUUGCAGUUCGCAGCAGACAAAAGAGGGAAAACGGCAUCCACCAACCCAAUGAAGUGUUGAAAUUAGUUGCAUUAGCUAGUGUUGGUGUUGUAUAUUUUGUAACUAAUGUAAGUUUGGAGUUAUAUGUUAUACGGAUUGGGAUCGGGUGUACGUUUGUAUAAGAUAUGUACCGAAUUUGGUUUAAAUGGGAUAUGGAUUGAAGUAUGACAGUAUGUUGUAAAAAUGAAUGUAAGGUUGGAAAUUGAGUGAUUUGUGUAUAACUUUUGUAUGAAUGAAAUUUUGAAAUUGAAAGUGUAA